rnacentral:sRNA from 1 species
UUCUUAUAAUUUAUAAUCCGCAUGAACAUUUAAUUACCAUAAAUUAAUCUCUACUGUAUAUCGUCUUUAGUAGUUAAUUGUAAUUUCAUCUUAGGUAUUUUAAGUCUUUCUGUAAAUCGCCAAAUAUUCCGGAAACUAUAUGGUUCUGAGACCAUCUUAUCUUUUACUCUCUUAAUUAUUUCCUACUUUUCUAUUUAUAGAGUUAAUACUUUGAUAGUCAGAAAGUAAUAAAUCUUUAUCUCUCUUAAUUUUUCAAAUCUCUGCUCAGUUUAUAAUUUCUACCUUCUCAUUUUCUCCGUACUCUCUGCAGAUUUGGCCUAAUAUAUUAAGUUUUU